GUAGGUGGCAAGCGUUGUCCGGAAUUAUUGGGCGUAAAGCGCGCGCAGGCGGUCCUUUAAGUCUGAUGUGAAAGCCCACGGCUCAACCGUGGAGGGUCAUUGGAAACUGGGGGACUUGAGUACAGAAGAGGAAAGCGGAAUUCCAAGUGUAGCGGUGAAAUGCGUAGAGAUUUGGAGGAACACCAGUGGCGAAGGCGGCUUUCUGGUCUGUAACUGACGCUGAGGCGCGAAACGCGUGGGGAGCAAACAGGAUUAGAUACCCGUGGUAGUCCACGCCGUAAACGAUGAGUGCUAAGUGUUAGGGGGUUUCCCGCCCCCCUUAGUGCUGCAGCUAACGCAUUAAGCACUCCGCCUGGGGGAGUACGGCCCGCAAGGCUG
rnacentral:rRNA from 1 species